UGACACUGAGGGACGAAAGCGUGGGGAUCAAACAGGAUUAGAUACCCUGGUAGUCCACGCUGUAAACGAUGAGUACUAGCUGUUGGAGUCGGUGUAAAGGCUCUAGUGGCGCAGCUAACGCGAUAAGUACUCCGCCUGGGGACUACGGCCGCAAGGCUAAAACUCAAAGGAAUUGACGGGGACCCGCACAAGCGGUGGAGCAUGUGGUUUAAUUCGAUGCAACGCGAAGAACCUUACCUGGUCUUGACAUCCUGCGAACUUUCUAGAGAUAGAUUGGUGCCUUCGGGAACGCAGUGACAGGUGCUGCACGGCUGUCGUCAGCUCGUGUUGUGAAAUGUUGGGUUAAGUCCCGCAACGAGCGCAACCCCU
rnacentral:rRNA from 1 species